GAGGCCGUAGCUCAGUCGGCAGAGCACCUGGUUGUGGUCCAGGAAGUCGCGGGUUCGAAUCCCGUCGGUCUCC
rnacentral:tRNA from 1 species